ensembl:lncRNA
UGUCCAUGAUGCUUGUCCUUAUGAUGCUUAUCCAUGAUGCUAGUCCUUAUGAUGCUAGUCCAUGAUGCUAGUCCUUAUGAUGCUAGUCCUUUGGUUAGAACAGAGAAUAAACUGAUAUCAGUGAAUCAACAACAGAAGAUACAUGGAACUAAUGGUCAUUGAGACCGAGAGAAACGUCACGACUUUCCUUGGUUUAACGAACCACAACUUCUAAAAAGGAAAAGGUGUACCGGUCAGAAAUGGCUCCUUGAUUUGGAUUAGUGAAAUCAUUCACAAAUGUUUUUAAUGGAUGGACAAAAUGAAAAGUGGAAGAUUCAUUUUAAAUGCUUUUGUUUUGUUGAUAGUAGUAUCCUGUGCAUCAAAAUCCAUCUAAAAACUUGUAUUUGUCCUUGAAGCAGCAGAAGGUUUUUGAUCUUCUCUGGUAUCGUUGGCAUCUUUUCCAGUCUGCUCCCCCUCUCCUUCCUAGAAGGGCUAAAAGAAUGAGUCAGAUGUUAUUUUAGAACGACAUGUUCUUUCAGAGCCUCAACAUGUCAGGGCAUGUUAUGAAGCCUUAUAACCUCAGAUAAGUGUUAUGAAGCCUUAUAACCUCCGAUAAGUGUUAUUCAUCCUUUUAUAAACUUCUAAUUAGUACAAAUGGAACGACAAAGGCCAUUUUUAACACACAUUUGGAUUUAGCCUGAAUGUCUUAAAAAUAUUAAAGUCAUUAAAGUUUUACGAUUUAAAGUCAAGUUAUCCACUUGCUUCAACGAAUGGGAUGAUUAUAGAAUUUUGUAAAGUAAUGGACAUUGUGAUUAGAUUUACUUCAUGUGUCUCUGGCGGCUGGAAAUAAUUCCAUAAUACUAAAUGUUACAUGACGCCGUCUCAUCAGCCUCACGGCACGUCUCUCACCGGCUUCAUCGACUUUGCAAAUGAGCAGGAUAGGCUAACGUUGAAGAGUUAUAAAUAGCCACGUAACCAUUCAGUUUCAGUUUACACUGAACGGGGAAGCCGUGUCUCAAAUUGUAUCCUAUUCCCUUCCUAUUAGGGUACUACCUCCCCAUGGGGCUCUUGUCAAAGGUAGUGCACUAUAUAGGGAGUAGGGUGGCAUUUGGGACUGAAGUUCUGUGCCACCACAGAUAUGUGCUUGUUAUUUUGGCUCAUGUGUUUUUUGUUGGCCUCUGGCGGUUGGGUGUGUACACACUACACUGAGCCACAAUGGCAGGCCUGUGAACCUAGAGAGGCUGAGCAGACAGUAGAACACUGAGGCCACUCUCUGAGACCAGAGAACUGCCUGUACCUUGUAGCACAGUACCCCACCUAGAUUCGUCUCGUCCACACCAACUCCCAUCGCAGGUUCGUAUUCACUAGACGCCAAACAUAAGAAAACAGACUGAAACAGGGAAGGAAUAACUGAACUUGUCCAGUAAGAAACGCUUAGUUUUGGAUUAUCUGUUGCAAAACGUUUUGCUACAGUGUGCACUAAUGAAUAACGACCCAACUCUUAUUCAAGCCCUGUAUGAUAUCAUGGACUAACUUGUAAAGGGCAAGCCUAUGUGUAACUCUGUGUUGUUGUAUUGGGUCGAAUUGCUAUGCUUUAUCUUGGCCAGGUCGCAGUUGUAAAUGAGACCUUGUUCUCAACUAGCCUACCUGGUUAAAUAAAGGUGAAAUAAAUAAACAUCUGUAUGUACUGUACUCGUUUCUCAGGAUUGUCCCAGCAGCAAUCAGAAUGUUCAACAAAGAAUGUGAUUUAGUCCUUUUUCCAUGAAACCAUCUGUAAUUAGAAAGUAUUUGAGAUGUGCAUUAUUCACUUCAGCAACCUUUGACAUAAAUAGGUUGUGAGCAGCACUAUCCUCCCUCCC